rnacentral:rRNA from 1 species
UACGUAGGGUUCGAGCGUUGUCCGGAAUUAUUGGGCGUAAAGAGCUUGUAGGCGGUUUGGCGCGUCUGCUGUGAAAAUCCGGGGCUCAACCCCGGACUUGCAGUGGAUACGGGCAGACUAGAGUGUGGUAGGGGAGACUGGAAUUCCUGGUGUAGCGGUGAAAUGCGCAGAUAUCAGGAGGAACACCGAUGGCGAAGGCAGGUCUCUGGGCCGCUACUGACGCUGAGAAGCGAAAGCAUGGGGAGCGAACAGG